rnacentral:rRNA from 1 species
GACGAACGCUGGCGGCGUGCCUAAUACAUGCAGGUAGAACGCACAGUUUAUACCGUAGCUUGCUACACCAUAGACUGUGAGUUGCGAACGGGUGAGUAACGCGUAGGUAACCUGCCUGGUAGCGGGGGAUAACUAUUGGAAACGAUAGCUAAUACCGCAUAAUAUUCAUUAUUGCAUGAUAAUUAAUUGAAAGGUGCAAUUGCACCACUACCAGAUGGACCUGCGUUGUAUUAGCUAGUAGGUGAGGUAACGGCUCACCUAGGCGACGAUACAUAGCCGACCUGAGAGGGUGAUCGGCCACACUGGGACUGAGACACGGCCCAGACUCCUACGGGAGGCAGCAGUAGGGAAUCUUCGGCAAUGGACGAAAGUCUGACCGAGCAACGCCGCGUGAGUGAAGAAGGUUUUCGGAUCGUAAAGCUCUGUUGUAAGAGAAGAACGGGUGUGAGAGUGGAAAGUUCACACUGUGACGGUAUCUUACCAGAAAGGGACGGCUAACUACGUG